rnacentral:piRNA from 1 species
UCAGGCUCGUUUGUUUUCGGCUUGC